rnacentral:rRNA from 1 species
UACAGAGGUCUCAAGCGUUGUUCGGAUUCAUUGGGCGUAAAGGGUGCGUAGGUGGCGCCGUAAGUCAGGUGUGAAAUUUCGGAGCUCAACUCCGAAACUGCAUUUGAUACUGCGGUGCUUGAGGACUGGAGAGGAGACUGGAAUUCAUGGUGUAGCAGUGAAAUGCGUAGAGAUCAUGAGGAAGACCAGUGGCGAAGGCGGGUCUCUGGACAGUUCCUGACACUGAGGCACGAAGGCCAGGGGAGGCAAACGGG